rnacentral:rRNA from 1 species
UGGGGAAUAUUGGACAAUGGGCGCAAGCCUGAUCCAGCCACGCCGCGUGAGUGAUGAAGACCUUCGGGUCGUAAAGCUCUGUGGGGAGGGACGAACGUCCCGUUGAAGAAACGGGGGUGACGGUACCUCCUUAGCAAGCACCGGCUAACUUCGUGCCAGCAGCCGCGGUAAUACGAAGGGUGCAAACGUUGCUCGGAAUCAUUGGGCGUAAAGCGCACGUAGGCGGCGCUGUAAGUCGGACGUGAAAUCCCUCGGCUCAACCGAGGACGUGCAUCCGAAACUACAGUGCUCGAGUAUGGAAGAGGGUCGCGGAAUUCUCGGUGUAGAGGUGAAAUUCGUAGAUAUCGGGAGGAACACCAGUGGCGAAGGCGGCGACCUGGGCCAAUACUGACGCUGAGGUGCGAAAGCGUGGGGAGCAAA